rnacentral:rRNA from 1 species
GACGAACGCUGGCGACGUGCUUAACACAUGCAAGUCGAACGGAAAGGCCCUGCUUUUGUGGUGUGCUCGAGUGGCGAACGGGUGAGUAACACGUGAGUAACCUGCCCUUGACUUUGGGAUAACUUCAGGAAACUGGGGCUAAUACCGGAUAGGAGCUCCUGCUGCAUGGUGGGGGUUGGAAAGUUUCGGCGGUUGGGGAUGGACUCGCGGCUUAUCAGCUUGUUGGUGGGGUAGUGGCUUACCAAGGCGAUGACGGGUAGCCGGCCUGAGAGGGUGACCGGCCACACUGGAACUGAGACACGGUCCAGACUCCUACGGGAGGCAGCAGUGGGGAAUAUUGGACAAUGGGCGCAAGCCUGAUCCAGCCAUACCGCGUGGGUGAAGAAGGCCUUCCGGUUGUAAAGCCCUUUUGUUGGGAAAGAAAAGCAGCAGGUUAAUACCCCGCUGUUCUGACGGUACCCAAAGAAUAAGCACCGGCUAACUUCGUG